CGAAGUAACUGAACGAGGUCCCAGGAAAAGCCACUAAGCUUCAGCUACACACGACCGUACCGCAAACCGACACUGGUGCGCGAGAUGAGUAUUCUAAGGCGCUUGAGAGAACUCAGGAGAAGGAACUCGGCAAAUUGACACCGUAACUUCGGAAGAAGGUGUGCCCUAGUAGUGUGAUGAGAACAUCUGAGCACGAAAGGGUUGCAAAAAAUAGGUGGCUGCGACUGUUUAUUAAAAACACAGCACUCUGCAAACACGAAAGUGGACGUAUAGGGUGUGACGCCUGCCCGGUGCUGGAAGAUUAAUUGAUGGGGUGCAAGCUCUUGAUCGAAGUCCCAGUAAACGGCGGCCGUAACAAUAACGGUCCUAAGGUAGCGAAAUUCCUUGUCGGGUAAGUUCCGACCUGCACGAAUGGCGUAACGAUGGCCACACUGUCUCCUCCUGAGACUCAGCGAAGUUGAAAUGUUUGUGAUGAUGCAAUCUCCCCGCGGAAAGACGGAAAGACCCCAUGAACCUUUACUGUAGCUUUGUAUUGAAUUUUGAACAGAUCUGUGUAGGAUAGGUGGGAGGCUUUGAAGCAGGGUCGCUAGAUCUUGUGGAGCCAACGUUGAAAUACCACCCUGGUGUGUUUGAGGUUCUAACCUAGGUCCAUUAUCUGGAUCGGGGACAGUGCAUGGUAGGCAGUUUGACUGGGGCGGUCUCCUCCCAAAGUGUAACGGAGGAGUUCGAAGGUACGCUAGGUACGGUCGGACAUCGUGCUAAUAGUGCAAUGGCAUAAGCGUGCUUAACUGCGAGACUGACAAGUCGAGCAGAUGCGAAAGCAGGACAUAGUGAUCCGGUGGUUCUGUAUGGAAGGGCCAUCGCUCAACGGAUAAAAGGUACUCUGGGGAUAACAGGCUGAUACCGCCCAAGAGUUCAUAUCGACGGCGGUGUUUGGCACCUCGAUGUCGGCUCAUCUCAUCCUGGGGCUGUAGCCGGUCCCAAGGGUAUGGCUGUUCGCCAUUUAAAGAGGUACGUGAGCUGGGUUUAAAACGUCGUGAGACAGUUUGGUCCCUAUCUUCCGUGGGCGCUGCAGAUUUGAGGAAGCCUGCUCCUAGUACGAGAGGACCGGAGUGGACGCACCUCUGGUGUACCGGUUGUCACGCCAGUGGCAUUGCCGGGUAGCUAAGUGCGGAAGAGAUAACCGCUGAAAGCAUCUAAGCGGGAAACUCGUUCCAAGAUGAGAUCUGCCGGGGCCUUGAGCCCCCUAAAGAGUCGUUCUAGACCAGGACGUUGAUAGGCAGGGUGUGGAAGCGCAGUAAUGCGUUAAGCUAACUGAUACUAAUUGCCCGUACUCUGCGUU
rnacentral:rRNA from 1 species